CUCCACUCCCAAGCUGCUAAUAAAAAAGUGUGUUCCUCGUGCAGUCUCUAUAAAAGCAGGUUAUAAAGCAGGGAAAGAGAGGAAAGCAGGUUGAAAAAAAAUAUCUAUCUUUCAUCCCUGCACCCUGUCUGCCUGUCACUGCCUUCCAUCUGCACCUGCAUGCUGCCUCCCAGACUGCACCUUCACCCUGGAGGAUGGGAAAUGUUCCCCUUUUCCACCUCCCCCAUUGCCUCCCCAUUGUACAGCUCCGGGAUAUCAGCAACCUCUGCUCCAGAGAGGUGCUUGUAAUGGCACACCUUUCUUGCUCCAGGUACCUCUGAGCACUGUGUAAAGCAGGAUGAAUUAUAGCUCAUUACCUAAAGGGCAGGCACUGUGGAAGUAAACAAAGCAGCUACUACAGAAGCCAGCAAGAGCUGCACAACACUGGAGCAGGGUUGAUACAAGCAGGAGACCGUGCCUGGAAAAGAGCUCAAGGUUGUGGUUGGGAUAGAUGAUCUCCAUAGUCUUUUCCAACCUAAAUGAUUCUCUGACCCUUGGCUGCUCCAAGCAGACAUACUGCAACACCAUGUGUUGCAACACCUGCGGCCUCGUGCAGGACACAGAGGUGCAGCGUCCCUCGAUGGAGAGGCAGGAGGUGGCUUCUCAGGAUGGCUCUGACGAUGAUGGAUGGUGCUGCUCUGUGUUCUCACUGAUGUAGAAAAUUAGAGAGAGAAAGCACUCCAGCUAUUGGCCCAUCCAAGAUGCGUGUUGUGUCCAUCUCCUGCACACAGGUGUCCCUUGGGAGCUCCCCAGCCAGCUUGUAGGCUCAUUAUUCAGACCACCUAUAUUGAUGAGAACACCCAACACUAUUUGCUUUCCCUUCUCCUCCUCCAGAACUGGAUGUGAAGUUCUUGCAGGGACCGUGCUAGAUGCAUCCUCCUAUAGAUAAACCUGGAAGAGAAGGCAAAAUAAUGCAGGAAAGAGGAGACAAAAGAAGCCUUCCAAUUACUGGCAAUUAGCCCUGCUGAGUGCCUACACACUGCAUGCGGUGCCCCAGACACACUCAGGCAGGUGGGCACACCACAUACCAGCACGCUUGGGAUGCUGACGUACACGUAAGCUUCUCAAUGGAGGCAUUCAGCACCGGGGCUUUUUGGACACCAGUCAGGCCAUGAGUGUGCCGCUCCCACCCCAAGCCCUGAGCAUAGGCAGGAGAACUUGCUCAGAAAUGGGAAUUUUGUGCCACGCGCUCCCACUCGCCUCCCAUGCCCAGCUGCCCAGCUACACGCCUGGUUUGCCCUCCUAGGAGGGAUGCCUGAGUUCUUGCUGAGAUGCCUUUCCCUCCGCAGGAGGACAAGCACCCAGCACGCUGCACAGCGUGGGAGGCACUCAGCCAGCCACUAAUGCUUCCCACUGGCUCGGAGCUAUGGGAGGAAUCAGCUUUUAUUAGCUCUUAGGAAGAGCACAUCGCUCCUGCCCUCUCUGCCCUGCAUCGGGCUCGUGCACAGACUCAGCUGUGCUGCAAGUGAAGCAGAACCAACUCACCUCCUGGCCAGCAGCACUAAACUCCUCCUGAGCCUCGCACAGAUCUCAGAAAUCUUUGCCAGGCUGGGAGCUGGGUAAAGCAAUGCUCCAAAGGGUGCUGCAGGGCCCAAAAGUGCCUUGGAAAAAAAAAGGAUGCCUGGCUCUUCUGCCCCUCCUUGGCACUACAUGGACCCCUGGAGGGCACUGGCGGUUGCUCUGUGGGAUGGGGCUGUGGCUUCCCGCAGAGCCCCCAGCACCCAGCCGCCAGCACGGUGAGGGAUUGAGCUGCUCUGCAGAAGCCUCUCUGAAGUCGCUCAGGGGCUUGUUAGCGGGGUGAUAAAGGGGAUGGAUGGCCUCGGAGAAACGCUCCGUCUCCUGCUGCGGUAUUCAUUAUCCUUUAGCCAGGCAAUUCUUCACAGCAGCCUGGAGCUCGGGGCUGGCUCGUUUAUUGUCCUCAGGGGCCGUUCCCACAGGGGCUGCGCCGCUUGUGAUGGUCACCGCAGGCGAUGGGAACACGAAGUGCAGCCCGUGAGCAUCCCGCAGCACGGCAUCUCAUGCAGGAUGGCUGCGGGCACGGCCCUUCUCCUGGAGGCUCACCUUCCUGAACCCACAAGUUGGCAAUCAGAGCUCCCAUCGCCCCCCAGGUCUGUGCUUGAGUUCUUAUGGGCUGCAAAACACACGCAUCAGUCCAUCCCCUGCCUGCUUGGCAGCAGCUUCUGACACUGAGAACAGAUUUCAGCCUGAUCUGACAGAGAGGCAGAGGUCUCAGGGACAGUCAGAGUCUAUAAAUCUCAUGGGAACAGACUGUCAAACAGAGGAGAGAGAUUAUUAGCACCUUGCAAACUGUAGUGCAUCAUCCACUAUUAGACACCAGACAAUCUGCGUGGGAGAGCAGGAUGUUAUAAAUAACCCACGAGAGGAGGUGUUCCGUUCAGCACAAGCAGCUUACCAGAUACCAGAGAACCCUGACCCAAGCUACGUAUCCAUGGGAGAUAAGAUGUCAUGGAUCCCACUGCACACGUUACAAAUGGGAGGCAUGGUUGGCUGAAGUCAGAGACCCUAAUUAAGUUGUUCCAGGAUGGAAGCUGGAGUUGUUCUUGACACUGCUAAGGCCAAAUGCAAGGUGUUGCACUUGGUUCAUGGCAAUCCCAGACGUGUGUCCCAUCCUUGGAGGUGCUCAAGGAAGGCUGGAUUGGGCCUUGGGCAGCCUAAGCUGGUGGGGGAGGGGCAGCCAGCCCACUGUAGGGUUGGGACUGGGUGGGCUUUAAGGUUCCUUCUAACCCAGGUAUUCUAUGAUUCCUUGACAUUAACUCCCAUCAUUGACACUGAACUCCAGUACAGGAAAAACUACUGGAAAGCACACUAUGGGGCAAGGCAGCAAAGGUCACUGGAGUCACUUGCAGGACCAAGGCCCACGGGCUGUUUGGAGAUAGGGAGUGCAAUCCACAUGCUCAUGUAGGGUCUGCUUGGACCUGGGCAUUACUACAGUGCCACCUCCAGCCUGAGGCAUCCAAGAACAAGGGCAAAGUGGGAAACAGCCUUUUUGUGUGCGACUGUGGCCUAGGUGGCCAGAAGCAUUAUUGGGAGUUCUCUUAUUUAGCUAGUGAAGGUCAAGUCCCAGGAGGUGCUUCCAGCCCUGCGAAUCACGUACUGCAUGUACCUGCAGGGCUUCAUCUCUGCUAAGAGAGGAGGUGAGCAUGUGCUACAGCACAUCCUUUAUUCCAGAAAAGCAUUUACUUCAGGGGCGCUGGAAUCCCUGUUCUGCCAAACAAAGAGAGUGAUGGGCAUUGAAUCUAAGCUUGUGUUGCUUAAAAAAAAAAAAUAAUAAUAAUAAUCCAGAAAUCCAGUCGCUGUAUCCUAAUUGUUCUGAUCCAACCUUUCACAGCACUGCAUUGAGCUAAAGGGCCGCACCUGAAAAUAUGCCAAGAGCGGCAUGAAAUGUUAAUGUUGCAAUUUAAACAAUAUGAAUAUUGCAGCACCGCUCUGCUGCUCCCCAUCCACUGAACAAUUCUCAUUCAAUGGAAGUCAAGUUACAUUUCAGGAAAUAAUGAGGUCUGCUAAUUAAGUCUGGCCUAGGAAGACAGCAGUCUUAAAAGGAGGGAAAAAAACUAAUUCAGAUCUCCCCAAAAUGUGUACAUUUGCUGCUUAUUACCUGCAAAGGGAAAUCAUUAAUGCUGUGCAAUGCCAGGAUCACAGGUCAGCACCAUUGUCUUAUUGCACACAUCUAGAGGAAAUUAUCUUUUUAAUGAUAAUACACGGAAGUCAUGACCUGCUUUGUCCCUAGGAGGCAAGUGGGAAAUGCCAGGCUGACGCUCUCCAUAUUCUGCAGGCAGAAAUCAGCCACCUGACAGCAAAUGCCAUAUUCAGGCUGGGCUACAGCGAGGCAGUGUGGGCUCGGAGGUGCUGAAGGCAGCUGACACAAGAUGGAUCCCAGCUCGCACACGAGGAGGGCAUUCAGUGCCUUGUGCAGCUCCCUGGCCACCAGUGCCAGUGACACAGUGACAGCAGAUUGAGCUGGUGGGAGCCACAGUGAGACAGUCUGUCCUUAGGAAAGGCGAACCGGACAGGGUCUUCACAUUUAAAGACCCCCUCCCACUCCCUUGGCUGCUACCCAAGACACAAGCACGUGUUGCAAAGCCACAAGGGCACUGCCAUAGGCUGGAAACCAGACAUUUCAGCUCUAGGGCUCCCCAAGGAACCACAGCAUCGUUUUGAGCUGGAAAGGACCCUCAGAGGCCAUCUGGUCCAACCCUCCUGCACUGAGCAGGGACACUCACAGCCCUAGUGGUGCUCAGAGCCCAUCCAGCCUGACCUUGGCUGUCGGCAGGGAUGGGGCCAUCCAAUAUCAAACCAACAGCAAACACACAAAACUCACAGCUUUCUCACCUUCUCGACUUUCACCAUUUUCCCAGUUUUAUUCUCCAUGCCAGUGGCUGGGGCUGUUACUCCAUUUCCCCCCAUUUCUCCUGUGCUGUCCCCCACCCAAAGAGCUGGACAGCAAGACUCUGGCACUGUGCAACUCAUGGGAAAAGCAGAAGGCUGGAACAGGCCCAUCGCAGCCUCCUGCUUCCUUUUUUCUCUGUCACAGCAGCACAUGGACCCACCCAUCCUCCUGCUCUGAACUCUGCCUUCAGCCCCCAUCUGAUCAGCACAGCUCUGACAGGUCGCUGAGCAGCUUGCUGUGUGAAGAACAGGCUGCAGAGGGCUGAUCCACUCCUGCUGCCACAGCAACAGCCUUCCCUAACCCACCUCCCAGCUCUCCAGAAGAAAAUUCAUCUGAUCAAGAGCCAAGCGAGGCCACUGGGGUCCUGGUUCACUCCCUGACCACCGCCGACACGCUGAACUUCAGCUUGUCGUUAACAGACAGCCAUCCUCCUCAGAUCCAGGCACAAUGAGCCACGCUGACUUGGAUUUGCAAAAACAAAGAUCCAAAUGAGGGCAGGCUCAAACCAUCCGAGAGGAAACACUUUGUUUGAAAGAAGAGAGAAAUCCAGCUGAAACCAUCCAUAAAAAUAAGCCUUCCAGCUCCCAGGCUGCCCCAAGAUGAGGGAGAACGCGGCAUUGAGGGACAUGGUUUAGUGGGCACGGUGGGGAUGGGCUGAUGCUCUCAGUGUUUUAUUCCAACCUUCAUAAUCCUACGACUCUAAGAGAUUCAGACACCACUUCCAUCCCGAGGUGUCCUGCUGGAGGUUCAGGAGCUGUUUCUGCUCCCCUAGAUCCAUUCCCAAGCAGCAGCUCAGUGCCUAUGGGGGAGCAGAGGUCUCCCCUGGCCAGCCCACCUCACGGUGCACCGCCAGGCACACCAGCAACUCUUCCACCAAGUGUCAGUUCUGCAAUAAAGAGCAAUAAACAUGCCAGAGUAAUUAAUGUCUUAACAACUUAUUACAAUCCUCAGAUAAUUAAUCACAAAAGCUAAACAUGCUGUCUCACCCUCCUAAUGUGUUAAUGCUCUAAUUAUUAUGCCUCAAUUAAGGGGAAGUCAGCGCUCCUUGCUUAGAAGUGCACGUUUAAUAAGGGUGCUCAAAUGGAGGCACGUUGAAGUGGGGAGGGAGGGGGCGAUGGGGGUUAAGGAAGACGACACCAUCCUUAAUGAGGUUGCAUGGGUGGCUGUAGGCAAGGAAUUGACAGCCCCUCUCUGGGAUCUCACACAUGAGUGCGCGUGGAACUGGGGGCCAUCUGCGGCGGCUCUGCGCUCUGCUUCCCAUCCGGCUAUUUAUAGGAGAGGCAGCAUGUGGGGCACAGGGAUGGCAGGGCUGGGGAUGAGCAGCUCUACUGCAGAUCUGGGCAAAGCUACACGGCAGAGCUGGCAGCUCGUGGAGAUGGCAGCAACAGGCGGAGGUGGUCUCCUCCACCCCCAGUCCACUGCUUGCCCUGCUUCCAGGCAUACAGGCAGUUGCCACCACUCCCGUCCCAUGUGAGCCUCUAUGCCUCUCCAGUGCAGUCCUCCCUCUGUGGUUCACCUCCAACAAGCCACCUGCGGGACAUCCCAUGAUAUGCCCUCAAAAGCCAGGAUAGCCCUUCGCUCUUCCAAUUUCAACCAUUGUCCAGAUGUUUUCCACAACUCCAGAAAGCUGAGAAUCAUACUUCAGUGGUAGCAGUUCCCUGCUGCAACCAAGACACAGCUCUGCACCCCUUAUGCCCCUCACCCCUGGAGGAGGCAUUGGGCACAAAGUAUGGCCCAGGCAAAGAUGGCAUCACCUCCUCCCCAGCCUGCACAACAAAGAGCUCCUGCAGCUACCCCACCCAAGUGGGUCUCCAAAACCAAGAAGGUUCCCUGUGAACCAGCCAGAUUCCUGUUUCAUCCAAGCUUUUUUUUUCCCGAUUUCUCAGGCAAAUGAAACACCAGAAGAUUUUUCAGCCCAGGUUAAACUGGAAAAAAAGAUCACACUGCAUUUCCUCAAGAAAUGACGCACCGUGUAGGUUUGGAUGGCUUCCUCUGAGGAAUAAGGGAGAAGGAAUAAGAAACAAAACAAAACAAAGCAACCCGGAGGGGACAUGAAUUUUAAAACCCAUGAACAGUUUUUGUUUUUCAAAUAAUCAAAAUGAAAAGAUAUUUCACAUAGUCACUUCCAUCAAAAUAUUUUUGUCACCCUGAUUCUUCAACGAUACUCCCCCCCCCCCCAAAAAAAAGCAACAAAAGAAUGCUCUCCAUCUCUGUCUGCUCCAUCUACCUGCUGUUCUUUGCAGCCACUGAGGGACUCAGGACCUCUUUGUGGCUGGAAGGGUGUAUGCUGCAGAAGGUGGAUGUGCUCAGAGAUUAGGUGGCUUCCUUAGCUCGUUUCAGACACCAUAUCCAAGCUUCUCAGAGACUGCAAGAAAACGGUCGACUGCUUUCAUAGAAUCAUUUAGAUUGGAAAAGACCUCUAAUUGGAGGACCUCUAGUCGGACCCAUCUAAUCCAGCUGUCCACCCAUCAACCAUUAUUGCUCACUAAACCACGUCCCUCAGUGCCACGUCUCCACAGUUCUUGAACACCUCCAGGGACAGUGACUCCACCACCUCCCUGGGCAGUCCAUUUCACAGCCUCAUCACUCCUGAGAAGGUUUUCCUGAUAUCUGGCCUAUUCAUGCCUUUCCCUUUCACUACUGCUGUCAAACCAGUGGUCACUUGAAAUCACAGGGCAUUACUUCACUACUGGCAGGUAGAAAUUCUGCCUUGGUUAUACCAGAUUCAGCCUACUAUGAAGCAUCAAGUCUGCUGAAUAUCUUGCGCCAGGAGUUGUGGUGAAGGUGACUGGCCUACAUUAGCAUGCUGUGAGGCUGGAGAAAGCUGUCUAUUCAGAAGAGAGCAGCAGCAGCCAGUUCCUGCACUAGGAUACAGACCUUGGGAUGCUCUGAGCCCAGGUUAGGCUGUAUCCACCACCAGAUAAUGGACAAAUCAUCAAAUCUGAGCCUUCCUCUCUAUACCAGUACAGACCCGGUAGCGCUCUGCCAGCACUCUCCCACUCUCAGAGGCAGAUGACACAGAGAGGGGAAUGGCUCUGCUUCUUUGCAUCUUUUCUAACUGAACAUUGAGUAUUGGCUGCUUGGAGGUAAUCUCUGACCCGACAGCAUGAGAUGCAGCCCCAUACACGCUCACGUGAUGCCGUCAAUCACACGCAGGCAGGUUCCCAGAGUCCUGGAGAAGGACCUGAAUUCUGAGGGCAGACUCUGGAAGAAAGCAGGUAAACAUGAUAUGAAUAAAACACAAGUCAUA
ensembl:lncRNA